rnacentral:tRNA from 1 species
GCGGCAGUAGCUCAGUGGUAGAGCCCCCGAUUCGCAUGCGGAGAGACCUGGGUUGGAAUCCCGGCUGCUUCC